GACGAACGCUGGCGGCGUGCUUAACACAUGCAAGUCGAACGGAAAGGCCCUGCUUUUGUGGGGUGCUCGAGUGGCGAACGGGUGAGUAACACGUGAGUAACCUGCCCUUGACUUUGGGAUAACUUCAGGAAACUGGGGCUAAUACCGGAUAGGAGCUCCUGCUGCAUGGUGGGGGUUGGAAGGUUUCGGCGGUUGGGGAUGGACUCGCGGCUUAUCAGCUUGUUGGUGGGGUAGUGGCUUACCAAGGCUUUGACGGGUAGCCGGCCUGAGAGGGUGACCGGCCCCAUUGGACUUGAGAUAGGGCCAGGAGUCGGGGGGGGGGCAGAAGGGGGGAAAAUUGCAAAAGGGGGCGAGGCCUGAGGGAGGGACGCCGGGGGGGGGAUGACGGCUUUCGGGUGGUAAACCGUUUUGCCCUGUGAGGAGGGGGGGGGGAGGGAAAUGGGUAAAAAAGCACGGGUAAACUCGGG
rnacentral:rRNA from 1 species